rnacentral:rRNA from 1 species
AUUGAACGCUGGCGGCAGGCCUAACACAUGCAAGUCGAACGGUAACAGGAAGCAGCUUGCUGCUUCGCUGACGAGUAGCGGACGGGUGAGUAAUGUCUGGGAAACUGCCUGAUGGAGGGGGAUAACUACUGGAAACGGUAGCUAAUACCGCAUAACGUCGCAAGACCAAAGAGGGGGACCUCCGGGCCUCUUGCCAUCGGAUGUGCCCAGAUGGGAUUAGCUAGUAGGUGGGGUAACGGCUCACCUAGGCGACGAUCCCUAGCUGGUCUGAGAGGAUGACCAGCCACACGGGAACUGAGACACGGUCCAGACUCCUACGGGAGGCAGCAGUGGGGAAUAUUGCACAAUGGGCGCAAGCCUGAUGCAGCCAUGCGGCGUGUAUGAAGAAGGCCUUCGGGUUGUAAAGUACUUUCAGCGGGGAGGAAGGCGAUAAGGUUAAUAACCUUGUCGAUUGACGUUACCCGCAGAAGAAGCACCGGCUAACUCCGUGCCAGCCGCCGCCGUAA